GACCUCAAAUCAGGUAGGAACACCCGCUGAACUUAAGCAUAUCAAUAAGCGGAGGAAAAGAAAAUAACAAUGAUUCCCCUAGUAACUGCGAGUGAAGAGGGACAAGCUCAAAUUUUAAAUCUGUCGGGUUUUACCCGAUCGAGUUGUAAUUUGAAGAAGCGUUUUCUGCGUAUUUGGUCAGCCCAAGUCCUAUUGAAUGAGGCAUCAUGGAGGGUGAUAAUCCCGUCCGGUUGAUCAUUGCGUUUUAUGAUACGCUUUCUAAGAGUCAAGUUGUUUGGGAUUGCAGCUUAAAAUGGGAGGUAAAUUUCUCCUAAGGCUAAAUAACGGCGAGAGACCGAUAGCGAACAAGUACCGUGAGGGAAAGAUGAAAAGAACUUUGAAAAGAGAGUUAAACAGUACGUGAAAUUGUUGAAAGGGAAACGAUUGAAGCCAGUCGUACCUAUGGGUAAUCAGCCUUUUGGGUGUGAUUUUGUGGAGCGUGAGGAGUUAAACGCCUUCAUGCCUGCAUAUUCGUGCACUUUGGGUGUACUUGCCCGUGUGUAAGUUAACAUCAAUUUUGGUGGUCAUAAAAUGGCUGGAGGAAUGUAGCUUCGAUCUUGUAUUGAAGUGUUAUAGCCUUCGGUAGAUGUGACGAUCGGGAUUGAGGAUUGCAACGGAUACCCUUCGGGGCUACCUGUCUGAUCUCUGAUUGUUGCUCUGGUACCGAAAGCUUGCUUACGGUUAUCAAAGUCGAUGGUCAAUAGGUUAGAACGGGUUAAAUUCGUUAAGGAUGUUGACGUAAUGGCUUUAAACGACCCGUCUUGAAACACGGACCAAGGAGUCUAACAUAUAUGCGAGUGUUAGGGUGAAUAAACCCUUACGCGUAAUGAAAGUAAUUUUGGUGGGAUCACUUUUGUGCACCAUCGACCGAUCAGGAUAUUUUUUGAUAGAUUUGAGUAAGAGC
rnacentral:rRNA from 1 species